GCGCUCUUAGCUCAGUUGGAUAGAGCAACCGCCUUCUAAGCGGUCGGUCCCGUGUUCGAGUCACGGAGAGCGCGCCA
rnacentral:tRNA from 1 species